UGGGGAAUUUUGGACAAUGGGGGCAACCCUGAUCCAGCCAUGCCGCGUGAGUGAAGAAGGCCUUCGGGUUGUAAAGCUCUUUCGGACGGAACGAAAUGGUUACGGCCAAUACCCGUGACUGAUGACGGUACCGUAAGAAGAAGCACCGGCUAACUACGUGCCAGCAGCCGCGGUAAUACGUAGGGUGCGAGCGUUAAUCGGAAUUACUGGGCGUAAAGCGUGCGCAGGCGGUUUCGUAAGCUGGAGGUGAAAUCCCCGGGCUCAACCUGGGAAUGGCCUUCAGGACUGCGAGGCUAGAGUGCGGCAGAGGGAGGUGGAAUUCCACGUGUAGCAGUGAAAUGCGUAGAUAUGUGGAGGAACACCGAUGGCGAAGGCAGCCUCCUGGGCCAGCACUGACGCUCAUGCACGAAAGCGUGGGGAGCAAACAGG
rnacentral:rRNA from 1 species